rnacentral:lncRNA from 1 species
CGUGUUUUAGUAUUUCUGAAUAUUUUUUGGUACUUUUUUUUUCUGGUAUUUGGUUCCACCUUCCGAUCUAAAUCAACGAUCUAGAUCAAUGAACGAUCCACCUUUUUUACAACCACCGUAAAACUUGAAAUAUUAUAUUAUUAUUAGCAAAUAUGUCUGUGUGUUGCAACGGGAAUAAAACAUCAAAUGGCCACAUAAAGUAAUGAUAUAAUGUUACAUAUCUAGUUAUAUUUAUUCUUUUUAUAAAAUUCAAAGUCCAUAAUUUAUUUUAGUGGUAACCAUGACAUCUAUGGUAUUAGAUAGUUAAUAUUUAUAACAAUACAUAGCUUGGAGACAUAUUUAUUUAAUAAUAAAAAUACAAAUUAGGUAAGCCUUAUCUUAUUCUAAUAUUACCUCUUAAUAUACCUUAGUAUUAUAUUAAAACAUGAGAAGUUUGUUGCUAGCUUUAUUUUUUUUAUUUAGAUUAGGAUUUCUAUGGAAUAUGAUAUAUCAGUUAAAUAUAUGUAGAUUAUGAACACAUGGGCUUAUGAAAUGUUCAUAUGACAUAAUAACACAUCGUGCAAAGGUAGUGGAAGCAUUAUUUUUUAUUUUUACAUACUUAAAUUGAUUCUAAACUAUUUAACAAGCAUAAAUCUAGGUAAAUUAGAAAAUCGGUGAGAUAUGCAGG